AAUCUGCCACUUGGCACAAGCCAGCCUUGGGCGGCCACUGAGGGACUCAGCCUUGUCAUCUGUCACAUAGAGGAGUGGUUCUUCAUUUCUGAAGUGAGGCAUUCUGCCCCUUCUCCCCGUGGGAACUGUCCUUUCUCUGCCACUGCCCGAAACUGUUAAAUCCCUGGUCUGAAGCACCUCACGGCCAUCUGUACUACAAGAUUCCUUCACUCUAAAGGCUGGUGUUCAUCUCAGGUACAAAAAAAAGGGUGUCCUGCUACUAUAGACUGAAUAUAUGUGUCCCCCGCAAACGCAGAUGUUGAAACUUAACCCCCAAGAUGAUGGUGUUAGGAGUUAGGGCCUGUGGGAGGUGAGAGGGCCAAGAGGCAGAGGCCCCAUGAUGUGAUUAUCGACCUCACAGAGAAGACUCCAGGCCCCCUGUGCUUUCCCCUGUGAGGUCUAUGAACCAGGAGGCAGCUCUCACCAGACUCUGGAUCUGUCGCGACCUUGGACUUCCAGCCUCCAGAGACAUGAGAGACAGCAUCCGUUUACUUGGAGGCUCAGCUGGAAAAUUCAGCCUUGUCGGACACAGAAAAACCCGCCGUGUGUCGACUUUGAUGUGGAAACCCUGCUCCUGUCGCCUAAUUUGUCCUCAAAGGGCAGUUAUUAUCUCUGUGGUGGCUCCUGUUGGGGACCGCCUGAAUUCCUGCUUCGAGUGACAUAAGCCUAAAGCUGCCUGGAGAGAACGCUGUUACGGCAGAGCGGAUGCCCAGUGGCUCCGAAUGAAAUCCGGCCUUCUUUGCCUAUUUAUGCAGUGGUGAUGAAACCACAGCCGUCCUGGGGGUGGGGUGGAGACGGCCAGAUUUUAGCUGGCGUUGCGCAGAACCGAAGACCUUCGUGGCUUGCCUGCUGGCGAUUUUGUUUUUGUGAUUUGAUAGAUUGUUCUACAAACAUGACAUCCGCUCACACCUCCCUCCCUCGCCAA